UCACCUUUAGCAACAUCUGGCUGGAGAUUUAUCAAACUGUUGCACUGAAAUAUAAAGGUCAUAAUCCUUCACUUUAAUUCCCACUGAUUUGUAGAUUCCGCUAUCUUGAUGGGAGUUUACACUAAUAUUACAACCAACAACAAUAAAGCGGCAGAAUUUUCUUACAGCUCCAUGUUUGAUUUUCUUUCAUUUCCAAUAAAUUUAUCCUGUACAAAUA